rnacentral:rRNA from 1 species
AGCAGUCGCCGCGGUAAUACGUAGGUCCCGAGCGUUGUCCGGAUUUAUUGGGCGUAAAGCGAGCGCAGGCGGUUAGAUAAGUCUGAAGUGAAAGGCAGUGGCUCAACCAUUGUAUGCUUUGGAAACUGUUUAACUUGAGUGCAGAAGGGGAGAGUGGAAUUCCAUGUGUAGCGGUGAAAUGCGUAGAUAUAUGGAGGAACACCGGUGGCGAAAGCGGCUCUCUGGUCUGUAACUGACGCUGAGGCUCGAAAGCGUGGGGAGCGAACAGGAUUAGAUACCCCCGUAGUCCCUGUCUCUUAUACA